rnacentral:rRNA from 1 species
UGGCGGACGGGUGAGUAAUGUCUGGGAAACUGCCUGAUGGAGGGGGAUAACUACUGAAACGGUAGCUAAUACCGCAUAACGUCGCAAGACCAAAGAGGGGGACCUUCGGGCCUCUUGCCAUCGGAUGUGCCCAGAUGGGAUUAGCUAGUAGGUGGGGUAACGGCUCACCUAGGCGACGAUCCCUAGCUGGUCUGAGAGGAUGACCAGCCACACUGGAACUGAGACACGGUCCAGACUCCUACGGGAGGCAGCAUG